rnacentral:rRNA from 1 species
AAGGGAGAGUAAUGCAUGGUUAGCUACCCCCGGGACUGGGAUAGCGGCGGGAAACUGCCGGUAAUACCAGAUGACAUCUUCGGAUCAAAGGUGUGAAUCCGCCCGAGGAGGCGACCAUGUCCUAUCAGCUUGUUGGCGGGGUAACGGCCCACCAAGGCAAAGACGGGUAUGGGGCGUGAGAGCGUGCCCCCACUCACUGGGACUGAGACACUGCCCAGACACCUACGGGUGGCUGCAGUCGAGAAUCUUCGGCAAUGGGCGCAAGCCUGACCGAGCGACGCCGCGUGCGGGAUGAAGGCCUUCGGGUUGUAAACCGCUGUCGUAGGGGAGGAAGCAACCGUGAAGAACGGAAGUUGACCGAUCCUAGGAGGAAGGGCCGGCUAAUCUCGUGCCAGCAGCCGCGGUAAUACGAGAGGCCCAAACGUUAUUCGGAUUUACUGGGCUUAAAGAGUUCGUGGGCGGCGCAGAAAGUAGGGUGUGAAAGCCCUCGGCUCAACCGAGGAAUUGCGCCCUAAACUACUGUGCUUGAGGAAGCUAGAGGUGAGCAGAACUGAUGGUGGAGCGGUGAAAUGCGUUGA